GACGAACGCUGGCGGCGUGCUUAACACAUGCAAGUCGAACGGGAAGGCCCGGCUCUUGCGGGGUGCUUGAGUGGCGAACGGGUGAGUAACACGCGAGUAACCUGUCCUUGACUUUGGGAUAACUUCAGGAAACAGGGGCUAAUACCGGAUAGGAGCUUCUGCUGCAUGGUGGGGGAUGGAAAGUUUCGGCGGUGGGGGAUGGACUCGCGGCAUAUGAGCUAGUUGGUGGAGUAGUGGAGUACCAAGGCUGUGACGGCUAGCCGGCCUGGGAGGGUGACCGGCCACAAUGGGCCUAAGGGACGGCCCAGACUCCUACGGGAGGCAGCAGUGGGGAAUAUUGCGCAGUGGGCGGAAGCCUGAUGCGGAAGCGCCGCGUGCGUGAUGAUGGGUUACGAGUUAUGAACAGAUGUCGACUGUGCCGUACCGAGAGUGACGGUACUGAGUAAGGAAGCCCCGGCUAACUACGUG
rnacentral:rRNA from 1 species